UCCAUCUCAACCAGGUGCGGUCGCGGCCCCUGAGGGCUUAUGAACUCAGGUGGUAGGUAUCCCAACCUCACGCGCCGCGCUCCUGAACCCCUUUUUUACGAGUACCUCCAUAUUCUUCUUCGGCAGGGUAAACCUGUCGUCAAAGUUCUACAAAACCUUUUUUGCAUCUAGCAUUACCUGUUCUGAUACAAACAAUCGUUA
rnacentral:misc_RNA from 1 species